GGUGCCAUAGCUCAGUUGGUAGAGCAAUGGACUGAAAAUCCAUGUGUCGCUGGUUCGAUUCCAGCUGGCACCA
rnacentral:tRNA from 1 species